GGGCCCGCACAAGCGGUGGAGCAUGUGGUUUAAUUCGACGCAACGCGAAGAACCUUACCUGGUCUUGACAUCCUGUGAACUUUCUAGAGAUAGAUUGGUGCCUUCGGGAACGCAGUGACAGGUGCUGCAUGGCUGUCGUCAGCUCGUGUCGUGAGAUGUUGGGUUAAGUCCCGUAACGAGCGCAACCCUUGUCCUUAUUUGCCAUCAUUUAGUUGGGCACUCUAGGGAGACUGCCGGUGACAAACCGGAGGAAGGUGGGGGACGACGUCAAGUCAUCAUGGCCCUUACGACCAGGGCUACACACGUGCUACAAUGGGGCGUACAAAGGGUUGCAAUCCCCGCGAGGGGGAGCUAA
rnacentral:rRNA from 1 species